UCCUCUUUGUGGAGGAUGGCAUUCCACUCUUAGUCUUUGGUGAUUUCAACAUUCACCUAGACAAGCCUUAUGCUACAGACUUCCACUCGCUCCUAGCUUCAUUUGAUCUCAAUCGCCUUACCACUACUACUAGCACGCACAAAUCAGGCAACCAACUUGAUUUAAUUUACACACGCAAUUGUACUGCAGAUAACAUUCUGGUACAACCGCUACAUAUCUCAGACCAUUUCUUCAUUACAUUUACACUACAUUUUGCUACCCGUGUGCCACCAACCCCCCUACCGGUUACUUUUAGACGAAACCUGCGCUCCCUUUCUCCUUCCCAUCUUUCCUCUGUAGUAUCCUCCUCUCUUCCCUCACCUACCCAUUUCUCAUCUCUGGAUGUAAACGCAGCUACUGAAACUUUAUGCUCUACCUUAACUUCUUGUCUAGACGACAUUUGUCCUCUCUCCUCUAGGUCAGCACGGACUGCCCCUUCUAACCCCUGGUUAUCUGAUGUUCUUCGUGAACAUCGGACUAAACUCAGAGCGGCAGAGAGAAAAUGGCACAAAUCAAACAACCCGUCGGACCUGAAACAACAAACUGGACGCUAAACAGUCAGGUUUCAGGAGUGGCCAUUCAACUGAGACUGCACUUCUCUCGGUCACUGAAGCCCUGCGAAUUGCAAAAGCCCAUUCCAAAUCAUCAGUCCUCAUUCUGCUGGAUCUAUCUGCCGCGUUUGACACUGUCAAUCAUCAGAUACUCCUCUCCACUCUCUCAUCACUGGGCAUCGCUGGAAUUCCACUUCGCUGGUUUGAAUCCUAUCUCACUGAUGAUCCAACGGUAGCUGCAAGGAUCUCAGGUUGCCUGGCAGACAUCUCGGCAUGGAUGAAAGAACAUCACCUCCAGCUCAACCUGGCAAAGACUGAGCUUCUUGUCUUUCCUGCCGCUCCAACUCUACAGCAUGACAUCACGAUCCAGUUAGGUUCAUCAACAAUUACCCCAUCAACUUCGGUCAGAAAUCUUGGUGUAAUCUUUGAUGACCAGCUGACCUUCAAAGACCACAUUGCAAAGACUGCUCGAUCUUGCAGGUUUGCACUACACAACAUCAGAAAGAUCAGGCCCUUUCUGACGGAGCAUGCUGCACAACUUCUUGUCCAGGCCCUUGUCAUUUCUAGGCUGGACUACUGCAAUGCUCUUCUGGCUGGACUUCCAUCAAACACAGUCAAACCUCUACAAAUGAUUCAGAAUGCGGCGGCACGACUGGUCUUCAAGGAACCCAAAAGAGCCCAUGUUACACCUCUCUUUAUCUCAUUGCAUUGGCUACCAAUCGCAGCUCGCAUCAAGUUCAAGACACUGAUGCUUGCUCAUAGAACAACCACAGGC